CACACACACACACACACACACACACACACACACACACACACACACACACACACACACACACACACACACACACACACACACACACACACACACUCACUCCCCUAACCAUAGACUGAUCCUUCCAUUUGCCACAGUGUACAGACCCUUAACACAAAACGAGGUGAAGAGGAGGGCGUGCAUGAUAGCGAGAUGGUAAAAGAAUGGAGUAAAGAAAAGCGAAGAAAGAAAGAGGAAAGAAAAUAACCAUCCAUCCUUAGAGAUAGAGAAGAGAGAUGGCACAGUUCUAGUAUGAUGACAAGAUUUAAUGGUUAACUUUUCUAUUUUCUACUCAAGUUAUUAGCGUUAGUGAGAUGCAACAAGGUAUAAGUGACAGCGCCGUGGUGCAUUGUUCUGUGUUGGCGUGACGGCGGCUGUGGCGGCGGAGAUAGGGGAUAAAUGAAGAGCUAAGGAACCUGGAAGAGAAGGAAAGAAUGUGUUGUCUUGUUUUGACGCUGCGGGACGAACAAAGGGUGGUAAGGUGCUGAAGGGACGGUGUGGUGGAGGUGAGGGUGUGGGACGAGGAGGAAAAGGAUGUUUUAUGAAAGCUAUCCUAAGUAUUCACCUGUUGCAGAUACUGGUGCAAUAUCUGUGUGUGUGUGUGUGUGUGUGUGUGUGUGUGUG